UACAGAGGGUGCAAGCGUUAAUCGGAAUUACUGGGCGUAAAGCGUGCGUAGACGGUUACAUAAGUCGGGUGUGAAAGCCCCGGGCUCAACCUGGGAAUUGCAUUCGAGACUGCGUAGCUAGGGUGCGGAAGAGGGAAGCGGAAUUUCCGGUGUAGCGGUGAAAUGCGUAGAUAUCGGAAGGAACACCAGUGGCGAAAGCGGCUUCCUGGUCCAGCACCGACGUUCAGGCACGAAAGCGUGGGGAGCAAACAGG
rnacentral:rRNA from 3 species